GUUCCUGAAGCGCAAUGGGUUGCGCGUUGGACCUCUAAUCCAAAAGUCGUGGGUUUGAAUCCCACAUGGGAUG